ACCUGAUAUGGGAACUGGGAACUGAAC
rnacentral:piRNA from 1 species